UCUAAAUGUGUUCCUGUGAGGCCCUUGCCUGGAAAGGUGAAGCAGCAACACCAAGGCACUCGUUGCACGGCCCCUGAAAACCAGCCAGAACCAGUCCCUGCUGGGUGGUCCCCGGUCAGAAUUACAGAAAUCAGCCUCUUGGCCAAUCAAACUUAGGGCUGGUGGCACAGAAGAGUGGGGCUGUGUGUCGGCAUCUGGAGGGGGUGAGCUGCACCUGGGUGAGUGUGGCUUUCCUAGUGGCCAGCGCUGGUUUAGCUGCUAGAGAGAAAGAACGCUCCUGGCCAGCAGCCCCUGGUUUCUGCUUUUCAGUGUCUUGUGCGUGACUCCACCCCUGCCAGGCAGGGCCUCAGGUGUUGUUGAUCAUUUGCUGUCUUAUCACCACAAGGAACCUGUUUUGUCAGUCUUCUCUUUAUGUUCACCUUCAUGCUGGUGAGUGUGGUGUCCCAACCACAGACGGAGGGGCUGUCACGCGGCGGGUCCCACCUCCCACUCUGUCAUGGCGGGAUUUUUGUCAUGUUUUUCAGAUUUCUCUGGAAUCCCCUUGGCCAAGAGGGGUCCAUUCAGCUUGUUGGUGCGGGAGCUCAGGAUUUCAUUUUUAGUUCUCACAUGGCAGGGCCCAGACUGACCACUCUGUUCCCACACCUGGCUCAAGGUGGGUCGGGGGCCUUCCCAGCCUUCUCAGAGCUAACCCAGAGGAGUGCACAGGACGGCUCGUCUCCCCCGAGAGCCACAGGGAAUGCUGGACCCGCCUGAGCAGGGGGCAUAUGGGGCUCAGCACAGCACUGUGGGGCCUAGAUGAGAAGCCGCUGGUCUCUUCUUCCCCUCCCUGACCUUGAGGACUGGAACCUUGGGGAGCCUUGGGUGAGGUCCCCUCCCAGGAAAUCCUGAGCUAAGACAUCGCGGGCCCAUUUUGAGGUGGCUGUGAGGGGUACAGGCUCCGGACAGAAAGCGGGAAGCUAGAAUCACAGAACCCACAAGAGUGGACCCUCCCUCUGGGGAAGGGCAGGGAGGACCAGAGGACUCGGGGAUGAUGAAGACGUUCCAGCUCCUGACGUUGGCGAGACUCACGUUGCUGACACCUGUGACAGUGCACGGGUUCACACUUAACUUUUGUGUGUUUCACGUUUUCAUAUUCUGGUAUAAGUUUGUUUUAUUUCUCUAGAAAGAAGCAAGGGCUGUCAAUGGUGAUUAAACGUUCCUUCUCAGGUUUGCCUGUGCGUGGGGUAGAGGUGGACCACGCAGACCCUCCCUGCUGUGAGCUCCGUGGAGGGUCAAUGCAGAUGCAGGGAGACUGUGGGGCCCGGUAUCCAUGAUGCUGGACAAGGGGGUUCCCACUCUGGAAGGAGGAGUCAAGGUCUCCAGUGGUGUGGGAUUAGAAUAUGAGGAAUCCGUCUGAGCUCAUUCUCCACAGGAUCCCACGAGGGAAAGACUGGCUUUUCCCUGUACAGACGCCAGGCCUCUACAGGUUCCAGAAGGUUCCUCUGCUCCUCUGAGAGGGCAGGGCACUUGCACAGGGAACAGGCAACCGAAGGCAGCCACAGCCCUACUGGAAUCCGGGUUUCUCUGCCUCCUGGGAAGAGGUCAGUGGACGGGUUGGGGAGGGGGACAGGCGGCCUUCCUGUGGGAGUCGCAGAGCCUGGGGCCUCCCCUCCUUGGAGGCGACCAGACACCUUCCCUAACUGGAGGAAAUUCUGAACCCCAGAACUGGAAAGGUCAAAGCUGAAAUAAAAUCGCCCCUUGUUUUGCGAGCUGCUGCCUCCUCUGUGCCCUCAGGCAGGUCCAUUCCCUCCUGGUCUCAGUCUCCCCAGCUGUGCCAGGGGGACGCCAGGUGGGACCCAACUGGGUUUCCAAAAACAAAAGGAAAUUUAAGUCUCAGAGAAAGGGGAGCUGUGGGCCAGGUUGGGGGAAGGGCCUCGGGUGCUGGAGUCAGUCCUGGGGGAGAAGGAAAGGGCUGUGGGGGGGACAUCCAGCAGGUCCCACAUGCUGUACCCCGUAUGGCCAUGGCUGGUGUCCCAGUGCUUGGGUGCAGACCCACUGGACAGGAGCCAUGCUGCAGGGUGACAGACGGCCCAUCGCAGGGCCCACAGGGCUCAUGCCCCAUCCCCUCGGGGUCCGGAGCUCUGGAUGGUCCCAGCCCCAGCUCUCCCCUGCAGACGCCCAGGCUCAGCGCCUUCUCCAUGCAGCUGUGGGCAGCUGGCCCCUCUGCAGGAAAUUCAAGCGAAUGGCGAUGGUACUUUCGGUUUUCAUCUCUGGAAAGCGCUUUUGGGGCGGGAAGGUGGGAGGGACGUUGAUGUGAGGGGUGGUCCUGAGUUCUCCUGAGGGCAGGUGAGGGUA